AAUGCAGUCGAGCGACGGACGAGAAGCUUGCUUCUCUGAUGUUAGCGGCGGACGGGUGAGUAACACGUGGAUAACCUACCUAUAAGACUGGGAUAACUUCGGGAAACCGGAGCUAAUACCGGAUAAUAUUUUGAACCGCAUGGUUCAAAAGUGAAAGACGGUCUUGCUGUCACUUAUAGAUGGAUCCGCGCUGCAUUAGCUAGUUGGUAAGGUAACGGCUUACCAAGGCAACGAUGCAUAGCCGACCUGAGAGGGUGAUCGGCCACACUGGAACUGAGACACGGUCCAGACUCCUACGGGAGGCAGCAGUAGGGAAUCUUCCGCAAUGGGCGAAAGCCUGACGGAGCAACGCCGCGUGAGUGAUGAAGGUCUUCGGAUCGUAAAACUCUGUUAUUAGGGAAGAACAUAUGUGUAAGUAACUGUGCACAUCUUGACGGUACCUAAUCAGAAAGCCACGGCUAACUACGUGCCAGCAGCCGCGGUAAUACGUAGGUGGCAAGCGUUAUCCGGAAUUAUUGGGCGUAAAGCGCGCGUAGGCGGUUUUUUAAGUCUGAUGUGAAAGCCCACGGCUCAACCGUGGAGGGUCAUUGGAAACUGGAAAACUUGAGUGCAGAAGAGGAAAGUGGAAUUCCAUGUGUAGCGGUGAAAUGCGCAGAGAUAUGGAGGAACACCAGUGGCGAAGGCGACUUUCUGGUCUGUAACUGACGCUGAUGUGCGAAAGCGUGGGGAUCAAACAGGAUUAGAUACCCUGGUAGUCCACGCCGUAAACGAUGAGUGCUAAGUGUUAGGGGGUUUCCGCCCCUUAGUGCUGCAGCUAACGCAUU
rnacentral:rRNA from 1 species